rnacentral:rRNA from 1 species
UACGUAGGGUGCGAGCGUUAAUCGGAAUUACUGGGCGUAAAGCGUGCGCAGGCGGAUAUAUAAGUUAGAUGUGAAAUCCCCGAGCUUAACUUGGGAACGGCAUUUAAGACUGUAUGUCUAGAGUUUAUUAGAGGGGGGUAGAAUUCCAAGUGUAGCAGUGAAAUGCGUAGAGAUUUGGAGGAAUACCGGUGGCGAAGGCGGCCCCCUGGGAUAAAACUGACGCUCAUGCACGAAAGCGUGGGUAGCAAACAGG